rfam:Dipodomys ordii contig_64696, whole genome shotgun sequence.
GGGAACGUGGCUCAGGGGUAGAGUGCUUGCCUUGCAUGCAUGAGGCCCUGGGUUCGAUUCCUCAGCACCA